rnacentral:rRNA from 1 species
CCUACGGGAGGCUGCAGUGGGGAAUAUUGGACAAUGGGCGAAAGCCUGAUCCAGCCAUGCCGCGUGUGUGAAGAAGGCCUUCGGGUUGUAAAGCACUUUCAGUGGGGAAGAAAGCCUUGGGGCUAAUACCCUCGAGGAAGGACAUCACCCACAGAAGAAGCACCGGCUAACUCCGUGCCAGCAGCCGCGGUAAUACGGAGGGUGCGGGCGUUAAUCGGAAUUACUGGGCGUAAAGCGCGCGUAGGCGGUCUGAUAAGCCGGUUGUGAAAGCCCCGGGCUCAACCUGGGAACGGCAUCCGGAACUGUCAGGCUAGAGUGCAGGAGAGGAAGGUAGAAUUCCCGGUGUAGCGGUGAAAUGCGUAGAGAUCGGGAGGAAUACCAGUGGCAAAGGCGGCCUUCUGGACUGACACUGACGCUGAGGUGCGAAAGCGUGGGUAGCAAACAGGAUUAGAUACCCUAGUAGUC